GGCAUAUUGGUUAAGCGCUCGGCUUUGUGAAGACUGGGAUUUUGAAUUUCGGUCCACCCAAAUCUAAUGGUGACCUGACUUAAUUUGGGAAAGUAAAGGCGGUUGGUCGUUGUGCUGGCCACAUGACACCCUGCUCGUUAAAAGUUGGCCAUAGAAACAGAUGACCUUAACAUCAUCUGCCCCAUAGAUCGCAAGGUCUGAAAGGGAAACUUUCCUUUUACAAUAUUGAAAUUUAUAGUUGCGAAUGUCCAAAAAGUCCGUCACGCCGUUCCACAAGGGGGCCGUCAUCAGUGUCUCGUUAGCUGGAGUGGCGGUCCUUGCACGGAACAGUGGCGGUUACAGUAUAGGAAUAUGAGACAAGCUCCCCAAGUUAGCACUGUUCUCGGCCACUUGUAGCGAGUGGGGCCCAGGAACGGGGACGGUGCGCUGUGUACACGUCUAGGUCCGGUCUGGCCCAGUCAAUCGAUAUGGCCGUCUACCGUUGGGAGCCCUCAGACCAGUGGCGUAGCUAAAGUGGGGGUAGGAGGGGGGAGCAUUUCAAAAUCCCCCCGGGUCCCCACUUGAGGGGGGCCCCCUAAUGAGUGUUUUUUACAUUGAAAGUUUAAUAUUAAGCAACUGCAGGGGCCCCCAAAGAGGCCAAGCCCCCAGGGCCCCCAAUCGAUGAAAAAUUCCUAGCUACGCCCCUGCCUCAGACAGGACAGAGGUGAAGAGCCCUACGUCCAGGACUGGUAGUUAGAUAAAAGCCUUUCUAACCACCAAUGGGAUAAUGGCGCCUACGCCCUUCUGGACUUCACUGUAGGUAGACAACUAGAGCGUGACCGCUAUGUCGAAGGCGCCGAUUAGUCGCCGAUUUUGGGUUGUUUCGUUUACGCACGCACUGCUAGUUUUUAAAUAACGAUUUAUACCUUUACUAACUCUGACCUAGAAGAGCGAUAGUGAAGCUAUUUUUAGGUGCUUAUCAUGGCUUAUGAUUAUCUCAUCUCUUCAGCAUGUUGGAAUGGAUUUUUUGAAAGCCUUCAAAAUGAAACAUAUUUAGGCUUAUGAAUAAGAUUCUAAUGGGAAUAUUAAUGUUUCAGCUGUAGAAUAUGGAUAUAAAUAAUGAUUGGGGCCAAGGCUGUUUUCCUUUGAGAUCUGUCCAGGUUUUCUUGUGAGUAGAAGCUUUCAGGACAGUAUUUGUUUUUUAUAUGACAAAGUAGUUAGCCCUGCGCACAACCUUCUGGGGGACUGCCCCUUUCAUCUCUCUGGAUAGCUGCCUUUAUUUUCGGGUAAGGUGCCAUAGCCUUUGUUGAUCCCUCCACUAAUUUCUCACAAUUUAUUGAAUUAGAAUUAGAAAAGCUGAAAAGAAAGAGAGGGAUAAACUAGAAACAGAUAUAGGGGAAUAAGAGAAAGAGAUGAAAGAGCAGCUCAACGAGCUCAUCAAAAAGAAUUAAAAGACUUAGAACUCAAACAAAAACAAUUAGAAACCAAACAAAAAGAAAGUGAGGAAUGGAUAGAAUUAGCAAAAGUAGAAGCAGUCAAAGUAAACCCUAAUAUAUCGACCCAACAAACAUCUCCAAAUUCCAUAACUUUAGCAUCAAAGAGGAAACUCUUGAAAAUUACUUGGAUUAAUUUGAACACAUAGCAUCAACCUACACAAUGUUUAGUGAAGAAAUGGCAAAACAAUUAUUAUUCUGUCGGGAGAAUCUUCUCUCGAUAUUAAUUGGAAAAAAAAAUAUUUGUUUGGUUUUGUAUAUUGUAAUUCUGAUUCUCUCUAACAGGCCUUCUGUAAACACUGCUCAACAGAACACAUCUAACUCAAGAACUUGACAACAAGAGUUCCA